CGUUCCCGGGCCUUGUACACACCGCCCGUCACAUCACGAAAGGGGGCUGUACUAGAAGUCGUGGUUGGAACCUUCGGGACCGCCACGCCGACGGUAUGGUUCCUGAUUGGGGUG
rnacentral:rRNA from 1 species